AGAGUUUGAUCCUGGCUCAGAUUGAACGCUGGCGGCAGGCCUAACACAUGCAAGUCGAGCGGCAGCACGGGAAGCUUGCUUCCUGGUGGCGAGCGGCGGACGGGUGAGUAAUGCAUAGGAAUCUGCCCGGUAGUGGGGGAUAACCUGGGGAAACCCAGGCUAAUACCGCAUACGUCCUACGGGAGAAAGCAGGGGCUCUUCGGACCUUGCGCUAUCGGAUGAGCCUAUGUCGGAUUAGCUGGUUGGUGAGGUAAUGGCUCACCAAGGCGACGAUCCGUAGCUGGUCUGAGAGGAUGAUCAGCCACAUCGGGACUGAGACACGGCCCGAACUCCUACGGGAGGCAGCAGUGGGGAAUAUUGGACAAUGGGCGCAAGCCUGAUCCAGCCAUGCCGCGUGUGUGAAGAAGGCCCUCGGGUUGUAAAGCACUUUCAGUGGGGAAGAAAGCCUGGUGGUUAAUACCCGUCAGGAAGGACAUCACCCACAGAAGAAGCACCGGCUAACUCCGUGCCAGCAGCCGCGGUAAUACGGAGGGUGCGAGCGUUAAUCGGAAUUACUGGGCGUAAAGCGCGCGUAGGUGGCUUGAUAAGCCGGUUGUGAAAGCCCCGGGCUCAACCUGGGAACGGCAUCCGGAACUGUCAGGCUAGAGUGCAGGAGAGGAAGGUAGAAUUCCCGGUGUAGCGGUGAAAUGCGUAGAGAUCGGGAGGAAUACCAGUGGCGAAAGGCGGCCUUCUGGACUGACACUGACACUGAGGUGCGAAAGCGUGGGUAGCAAACAGGAUUAGAUACCCUGGUAGUCCACGCCGUAAACGAUGUCGACUAGCCGUUGGGUCCUUCGCGGACUUUGUGGCGCAGUUAACGCGAUAAGUCGACCGCCUGGGGAGUACGGCCGCAAGGUUAAAACUCAAAUGAAUUGACGGGGGCCCGCACAAGCGGUGGAGCAUGUGGUUUAAUUCGAUGCAACGCGAAGAACCUUACCUACCCUUGACAUCCUGCGAACCCUUCGGAGACGAAGGGGUGCCUUCGGGAACGCAGAGACAGGUGCUGCAUGGCUGUCGUCAGCUCGUGUUGUGAAAUGUUGGGUUAAGUCCCGUAACGAGCGCAACCCUUGUCCCUAUUUGCCAGCGAUUCGGUCGGGAACUCUAGGGAGACUGCCGGUGACAAACCGGAGGAAGGUGGGGACGACGUCAAGUCAUCAUGGCCCUUACGGGUAGGGCUACACACGUGCUACAAUGGUCAGUACAAAGGGUUGCGAACUUGCGAGAGUGAGCCAAUCCCAGAAAGCUGAUCUCAGUCCGGAUCGGAGUCUGCAACUCGACUCCAUGAAGUCGGAAUCGCUAGUAAUCGUGAAUCAGAAUGUCACGGUGAAUACGUUCCCGGGCCUUGUACACACCGCCCGUCACACCAUGGGAGUGGACUGCACCAGAAGUGGUUAGCCUAACCUUCGGGAGGGCGAUCACCACGGUGUGGUUCAUGACUGGGGUGAAGUCGUAACAAGGUA
rnacentral:rRNA from 1 species